rnacentral:tRNA from 1 species
GUUAGUCUGACAGAAAAUGUACUAGAUUUAGGAUCUACUUAUGUAGGUGUUAGCCCUACGACUAAUU